rnacentral:tRNA from 1 species
GCCUUGGUCGCAUAGUGGUAUUGCAAUGGAUUGCUAAUCCAUGCCCUUCGGGGUCCGCAGGUUCGAUUCCUGCCCAAGGCG